GACGAACGCUGGCGGCGUGCUUAACACAUGCAAGUCGAACGGAAAGGCCCUGCUUUUGUGGGGUGCUCGAGUGGCGAACGGGUGAGUAACACGUGAGUAACCUGCCCUUGACUUUGGGAUAACUUCAGGAAACUGGGGCUAAUACCGGAUAGGAGCUCCUGCUGCAUGGUGGGGGUUGGAAAGUUUCGGCGGUUGGGGAUGGACUCGCGGCUUAUCAGCUUGUUGGUGGGGUAGUGGCUUACCAAGGCUUUGACGGGUAGCCGGCCUGAGAGGGUGACCGGCCACAUUGGGACUGAGAUACGGCCCAGACUCCUACGGGAGGCAGCAGUGGGGAAUAUUGCACAAUGGGCGGAAGCCUGAUGCAGCAACGCCGCGUGCGGGAUGACGGCCUUCGGGUUGUAAACCGCUUUCGCCUGUGACGAAGCGUGAGUGACGGUAAUGGGCAAAGAAGCACCGACUAACUACGUG
rnacentral:rRNA from 1 species